rnacentral:rRNA from 1 species
GGUCAUAGUGAUCCGGUGGUUCUGUAUGGAAGGGCCAUCGCUCAACGGAUAAAAGGUACUCCGGGGAUAAAAGGCUGAUACCGCCCAAGAGUUCACAUCGACGGCGGUGUUUGGCACCUCUAUGUCGGCUCAUCACAUCCUGGGGCUGAAGCCGGUCCCAAGGGUAUGGCUGUUAGCCAUUUAAAGUGGUACGCGAGCUGUGUUUAGAACGUCGUGAGACAGUUCGGUCCCUAUCUG